UAGGGAAUCUUCCGCAAUGGGCGAAAGCCUGACGGAGCAACGCCGCGUGAGUGAUGAAGGUCUUCGGAUCGUAAAACUCUGUUAUUAGGGAAGAACAAAUGUGUAAGUAACUAUGCACGUCUUGACGGUACCUAAUCAGAAAGCCACGGCUAACUACGUGCCAGCAGCCGCGGUAAUACGUAGGUGGCAAGCGUUAUCCGGGAUUAUUGGGCGUAAAGCGCGCGUAGGCGGUUUUUUAAGUCUGAUGUGAAAGCCCACGGCUCAACCGUGGAGGGUCAUUGGAAACUGGAAAACUUGAGUGCAGAAGAGGAAAGUGAAAUUCCAUGUGUAGCGGUGAAAUGCGCAGAGAUAUGGAGGAAAACCAGUGGCGAAGGCGACUUUCUGGUCUGUAACUGACGCUGAUGUGCGAAAGCGUGGGGAUCAAACAGG
rnacentral:rRNA from 1 species